rnacentral:rRNA from 1 species
CACGUAGGGUGCGAGCGUUGUCCGGAAUUAUUGGGCGUAAAGAGCUCGUAGGCGGUGUGUCGCGUCGGCCGUGAAAACCUGUGGCUUAACUAUGGGCUUGCGGUCGAUACGGGCAUCACUGGAGUUCGGCAGGGGAGACUGGAAUUCCUGGUGUAGCGGUGAAAUGCGCAGACAUCAGGAGGAACACCGGUGGCGAAGGCGGGUCUCUGGGCCGAUACUGACGCUGAGGCGCGAAAGCCAGGGGAGCGAACGGG